rnacentral:rRNA from 1 species
GACAGAGGCCCCGAGCGUUAGGCGGAAUCACUGGGCUUAAAGCGUGUGUAGGCGGAUCGUUAAGUGUCUUGUGAAAUCCCACGGCUCACCCGUGGAACCGCUGGGCAUACUGGCGAUCUCGGGCCAUUCAGGGGCGACUGGAACAAGCGGUGGAGCGGUGAAAUGCGUAGAUAUCGCUUGGAACGCCAAAGGUGAAAACAGGUUGCUGGGGUUGUGCCGACGCUGAGACACGAAAGCCAGGGGAGCAAACGGG